rnacentral:rRNA from 1 species
AUGGACUUCGUGACUGGUUUUCCAAAGUCCAAGCGUGGAAAUGAUGCUAUCUUCGUUGUCAUCGACAAGCUUACUAAAGUGGCUCAUUUCCUUCCAAUCAAAGAAUCUAUCACAACAGCUCAGUUGGCAGAGCUAUACACCUCCAGGAUUGUCUCCUUGCAUGGCAUUCCACAAUUGAUUUCUUCAGAUCAUGGAAGCAUCUUCACUUCUAAGUUCUGGGACUCCUUUCAGAAGGCCAUGGGCACCAACAUUCGCUUCAGCAUAGCUUUCCAUCCUCAAACUAGUGGCCAAGUCGAGCGAGUAAAUCAAAUUCUUGAAGAUAUGCUCAGGGCUUGUGUCAUUUCCUUUGGCAUGAAAUGGGAAGAUUGUCUUCCAUAUGCCGAAUUCUCCUACAACAACAACUUUCAAGCAAGUUCGGGCAAGGCCCCAUUCGAGAUUCUCUAUGGCAGAAAGUGCCGUACUUCUCUCAAUUGGUCAGAGACUGGUGAACGCCAACUUUUUGGCAAUGACUUAAUCACAGAGGCUGAAGAAAUGUGUAAAGUCAUCCGUGAUAAUCUCAAAGCCGCGCAAUCGCGACAGAAGAGUUACUAUGACAGUAAGCACCGUGAUGUGGCUUUCGAGAUCGGAGACCAUGUCUACCUCCGCGUCUCUCCAAUGAAAGGCACUCGUCGCUUCGGUAUCGAAGGGAAGCUUGCCCCUAGAUACGUGGGUCCUUUCAAGAUCAUUGGCAAAAGAGGCGACCUCGCCUAUCAACUUGAGCUUCCCUCCAACUUCGCGAACGUGCACGAUGUGUUCCACGUGUCACAGCUCCGCAAGUGCUUCAAGACUCCUGAGCGCACCAUCAACUUCUAA